rnacentral:rRNA from 1 species
CCUACGGGGUGCAGCAGUGGGGAAUAUUGCACAAUGGGGGAAACCCUGAUGCAGCGAAGCAGCGUGAGUGAAGCAGUCUCUCGGUAUGUAAAGCUAUAUCAGCAGGGAAGAAGAAAGACGGUACCUGACUAAGAAGCACCGGCUAACUACGUGCCAGCAGCCGCGGUAAUACGUAGGGGGCAAGCGUUAUCCGGAUUUACUGGGUGUAAAGGGAGCGUAGAAGGCUGUGCAAGUCUGAAGUGAAAGCCCAGGGCUACACCCUGGGACUGCUUUGGAAACUGUGGAGCUAGAGUGCUGGCGAGGUAAGUGGAAUUCCUAGUGUAGCGGGGAAAUGCGUAGAUAUUAGGAGGAACACCAGUGGCGAAGGCGGCUUACUGGACAGUAACUGACGUUGAGGCUCGAAAGCGUGGGGAGCAAACAGGAUUAGAUACCCGGGUAGUC